AUUGAACGCUGGCGGCAUGCCUUACACAUGCAAGUCGAACGGUAACAGGUCUUCGGAUGCUGACGAGUGGCGAACGGGUGAGUAAUACAUCGGAACGUGCCCGAUCGUGGGGGAUAACUACUCGAAAGAGUAGCUAAUACCGCAUACGAUCUACGGAUGAAAGCGGGGGAUCUUCGGACCUCGUGCGGACGGAGCGGCCGAUGGCAGAUUAGGUAGUUGGUGGGAUAAAAGCUUACCAAGCCGACGAUCUGUAGCUGGUCUGAUCGGACGGCCGACCACACUGGGACUGAGAACAGGCCAAGACUCCUACGGGAGGCAGCAGUGGGGAAUUGUGGACAAUGGGCGAAAGACUGAUCCAGCAAUGCAGCGUGCAGGAUGAAGGCCUUCGGGUUGUAAACUGCUUUUGUACGGAACGAAAAGACUCCUUCUAAUACAGGGGGUCCAUGACGGUACCGUAAGAAUAAGCACCGGCUAACUACGUGCCAGCAGCCGCCGUAAUAC
rnacentral:rRNA from 1 species